CAACAGGUGUCUGUUCAACAGUAACAGUUGCUGUCUAGAAAUGUUAAACUGCUUAUUCGAGAAUUGACGUCUAUCUAGGAGACUAGGUCAUGAAGGAACAAUCUUGAUGGCUGAGCUCUAACGUUAUCUGAACACACAUGGGUCAAUGACCGCUCACUUUGAAUAUAUUACAACCAGCAAGCAGCAGUUAUCUUGAGCAUUUGCUACUACAUUAUGGUUCUUUAAAAAAAAUGACUUACCAUGACUUUAUUUUGUACGCUAUUUCAGUCCGUGUGGUUGUUUUGCUCACGUAACGCAGCUUAACAUUUGAUGUUGUGCCAUGCGGUCAGUCUAAUUCCCUUUACUGGCUUUAGGCUAGUUAUGGCAUCUCCAGGGUAUUUUGGUGAUGGUCCUCCGAUGCGCGAGCGUGACCCGUACUUCACUGAGGUCAUCAGACAGAGGAUGCAAGUGCCCGAGCGGCUGAGGGUCGGUCCAGCGCCACAUGAGCCUGCAGAGCAAAGACAUGAAGAGCUACCUGCUGCCUACAGCAUGCACAUCCCAGACAGACUGGCCUUAACAGAUGCUUCUGAUCUGAGUCCACGACCUCUCUUCACUAAACACACUUCAUCAAUGUGGGACCUGCAGCAUGGGUCCUGGGACAGGGAGGCGUUCAUGAGAGAGCCUGUCCAGAGUCCACUGCGAAGGUCUUACAGUGACCAGGCCUUUGGUCGAACCCCACCUGGAACCCCCACACACUCCAGACAAACACUCCACUCCCAGUCUCCUGCCUCGCAGGAGUUCUGGCUCGGUCCUGAAGAGGACACAGGUGCUGCUGUCGAGUUCAUGGUGCUCCGCAGACAGGUGGUGAAGAUGAGCAGGAGGAUAGCAGGGCUGGAGAGACAGAACACAGAGCACAGACAGACGGAGCUGGUGCUGUUCUCUAUGUUACUGUCUGCCUGUCUGAUCAACGGCUGGCUGUGGAUGCGCAGAUGACGGCUCACACUCCACAACACUGCACUAUACAGACAGCACUACAAGAGCAGCGGAGCUGUUUACUGGGAAGUACAGUACUGCACAUUUUUCUAUAGAGAUUUACGAAAUUUGUUCUCAUAAAAAUGAUGGUCAAUGGAUGGUUUAGAAACCACUCCUAUAGAAGACUCUGAACCUUCCACUCGGAUGUGUCACAUGAUCACGGUAGUGACAUGGGCCACUUUGCGUUACAAGUGAUUUGAGGAACUCAAGCGUUUUUCUCCUAGUGAGAGUUUCACUGAUGAUGUCAUUCAGUAAUGCAGUCCCUCUGGCUCUUUUGAUCAGACUAGUAGCUAGUUUUUUGUAUUUGAUUUAUUCUGCAAAUUAAGUAAAUGCCGAGAUUUUCUGCAUGCUUUAUGAAAGUAUAAAUAUUAAUGUUUAUAUGUAUAUUUCCUUUUUUUCUUCCAGUUAGGCAUUUGAAUAGCCUUCAUCCUUUUUAACUCAUUUCCCCAGCCUGAUGUAUGAUGAAUAUUUAAAAUAAUAAAAAUUGUAAUUAGUCUCAGAUAUCUCGUUCUCUCAAUGUCAACAUUAAAUUAGCAAAAUUUGCAUUCAGAUGAUGCCUGACAAAGAACAACUAAACACUGCAAAUGGAUCCGUUUAUUAAAAAAUUAAAUUAACCAAGGAAAAAGUUAUUGAAACGCUUUAGACUAUAAACCAAAUGAAAACUGCAAAGCCUUAUACAAAAUCUACAUGAGAUAAGAUAGGAAAUAAUGAACAGGAAUACAAUUUAAUUCAAAUGAAUCAUCAUUGUACAGUAAUAACAUUGUCAAGCAGCAACUAGAGUGACAUUUUGUAAUGAAACAAAUACUAGUGAAAUGAGCGUAAAAACAUUGAUUGGGACACAAGGGUACAUACUAUACAAAAUAAUACAAAAACACAUUCUCAUAAUUCGUCCUGAGAUGGACCGACACAUUCUUCUUUAGAAACUAUGAAGUAUCAAAUGUAGCAAGACCAUCAAGAUUAGUUUAGAUAAGACUGAGGCUUCAGGUGGAACAAACUGAUAAACGUGGUAAUGAAAUGUUGACUUGCUUGACCAGAUUAGCCUCAAAAUCACUGACCAGUACGGUUAAACUUUAACUGCAUGUAGACCAAUUUAAAGCAUUACAAUAGGGACCGUUUCAGUUUGCAUUCAGGGAACUGUAUUUGAAAUGUAAUGAGCUUGUUUAUCAGUAUUUUGUACCACCUUUGUCUCAGUCCACUCUUUGGUCCAUUGUCUUAGUUUGUGCCCAAAUUAGAUUAGAGCUCUUCAAACUUGCUGAAAGUGUCCUAAAUACACAGCUGUUGAGCAUUGACAAUGGGUGAUCUAACAAUGCUGGAAAUGUUUCUUUCAGAUCUUAUCUAAAAAAGAAAGACAGGAAGGAAGAAAAAAUAACUAGUUUCUAUCUCUCGAGCGAAUGAGAAAAGACUGAUUGUGUACAAAAUGUCAAGUACCGACGCACACAAUGUGCUUAACUGAGACCGACUGUGCUCAAAUACUUGAUUACUUGCAAAUGAAUUUGGUCCAAGUUUCAAAAAAAAAAAAAAAUCAAAUCAAAUGCUAUGAAAUCAAAUAUUUAGGGCAAAUAUAUAUAAAAAAAAAGGCAUUUAGGGCUCAGAUGAUUGGCUCAAAACAAGACAUUUCCUGCACCAGCUGACCCCUUAAAGGGAUAGUUCACCCAAAAAUGAAAAUUCUGUCAUUAAUUACUCACCCUCAUGUCGUUCCAAACCCGUAAGA
rnacentral:lncRNA from 1 species